rnacentral:rRNA from 1 species
AUUGAACGCUGGCGGCAUGCCUUACACAUGCAAGUCGAACGGUAACAGGUCUUCGGAUGCUGACGAGUGGCGAACGGGUGAGUAAUGCAUCGGAACGUGCCCAGUAGUGGGGGAUAGCCCGGCGAAAGCCGGAUUAAUACCGCAUACGACCUGAGGGUGAAAGGGGGGGAUCGCAAGACCUCUCGCUAUUGGAGCGGCCGAUGGCAGAUUAGGUAGUUGGUGGGAUAAAAGCUUACCAAGCCGACGAUCUGUAGCUGGUCUGAGAGGACGAUCAGCCACACUGGGACUGAGACACGGCCCAGACUCCUACGGGAGGCAGCAGUGGGGAAUUUUGGACAAUGGGCGCAAGCCUGAUCCAGCAAUGCCGCGUGCAGGAUGAAGGCCUUCGGGUUGUAAACUGCUUUUGUACGGAACGAAAAGCCCUGGGUUAAUACCCUGGGGUCAUGACGGUACCGUAAGAAUAAGCACCGGCUAACUACGUGCCAGCCGCCGCCGUAACAC